rnacentral:tRNA from 1 species
GUCCCCAUAGCUCAAUUGGAUAGAGCGUCGGUCUUCGGAACCGAAGGUUGGGGGUUCAAGUCCCUCUGGGGAUG